rnacentral:lncRNA from 1 species
ACAAACUAUUUUUCCACCCACCACCGUAUAUCAUCCUUCAUUGUUCCAUCAUCGCCAACCCCACAUCUUCUAUUCCACCGGAUUUUCUUGACAUAGGUGAUAGGACAAAUUACUUGUCGGAGGUGUCUAUAGAGGUGAAUAUAAUUAUUACAUCUUAAGACUCCGAGGAAGAUGUUCGAUCCAUGAGAAAAUUCAAUUUAAUUCAUGGAGAAAUUAAAAUUCAAUUCAUGAAGAAGUUGAAAUUUAAUUCAUGAGAAAAUUGAACGAUUUGAUGCGAAUUUAAUGAAAUCGGUGGCGGCACUGUUAAACCUUUUCACUCACAACCUACAUUCCAUCUCCUGCUAUUGUUCUUUAAUUUCUUUUAAUUCUAGUUGUCGUUGUUGUUGUUGUUGGGUAUUAUGGAAUUGUCAGCGAGGGUGAAUUAUAUUAACGAUGAUGGUGGGGAUUUAGAAAUUGACGAAGAUGAAGGUUGUAUUGCUCUUGGACCUUGGUGAUAGGUAAUAUGAAGAUAACGACCACAAAUAUGGUUUUAAGAGUGGUGGUGGAUUUGUGAGUUGGUGGUAGUUAUGAUGAAGAAGAUAAAGAGUAGUCAAUGGUGCGUUGAUAAAAUCGACUACGCCAGUCCUUGCUGAUGGAACCAAUUUUGGUGGAAUUCGUCGAUUUUACCUUUUUGAGGUAUUGGUCGCUGUCAAUGACAUUUUUCGAUGGAUUUGACUAUGGUGGAGCUCUGGUGAGCUUCACCGGUGAACUCAGACUGGAAAGAAAUGAUGGGUGAUUGUGGGAUGACGUUUUUCGGCUAGAUUUCACAGGAAAAUCAGACCCAAAUAUUUAUCUACCACUAUUCUUGAUUAUUUUUCUUCAAAUUUUGGUGUGUGC